rnacentral:rRNA from 1 species
UUAAACAAGUCGAACGGUGAACACGGAGCUUGCUCUGUGGGAUCAGUGGCGAACGGGUGAGUAACACGUGAGCAACCUACCCCUGACUCUGGGAUAAGCGCUGGAAACGGCGUCUAAUACUGGAUAUGUGGCGUGACCGCAUGGUCUGCGUCUGGAAAGAAUUUCGGUUGGGGAUGGGCUCGCGGCCUAUCAGCUUGUUGGUGAGGUAAUGGCUCACCAAGGCGUCGACGGGUAGCCGGCCUGAGAGGGUGACCGGCCACACUGGGACUGAGACACGGCCCAGACUCCUACGGGAGGCAGCAGUGGGGAAUAUUGCACAAUGGGCGCAAGCCUGAUGCAGCAACGCCGCGUGAGGGAUGACGGCCUUCGGGUUGUAAACCUCUUUUAGCAGGGAAGAAGCGAAAGUGACGGUACCUGCAGAAAAAGCGCCGGCUAACUACGUGCCAGCAGCCGCGGUAAUACGUAGGGCGCAAGCGUUAUCCGGAAUUAUUGGGCGUAAAGAGCUCGUAGGCGGUUUGUCGCGUCUGCUGUGAAAUCCGGAGGCUCAACCUCCGGCCUGCAGUGGGUACGGGCAGACUAGAGUGCGGUAGGGGAGAUUGGAAUUCCUGGUGUAGCGGUGGAAUGCGCAGAUAUCAGGAGGAACACCGAUGGCGAAGGCAGAUCUCUGGGCCGUAACUGACGCUGAGGAGCGAAAGGGUGGGGAGCAAACAGGCUUAGAUACCCUGGUAGUCCACCCCGUAAACGUUGGGAACUAGUUGUGGGGUCCAUUCCACGGAUUCCGUGACGCAGCUAACGCAUUAAGUUCCCCGCCUGGGGAGUACGGCCGCAAGGCUAAAACUCAAAGGAAUUGACGGGGACCCGCACAAGCGGCGGAGCAUGCGGAUUAAUUCGAUGCAACGCGAAGAACCUUACCAAGGCUUGACAUAUACGAGAACGGGCCAGAAAUGGUCAACUCUUUGGACACUCGUAAACAGGUGGUGCAUGGUUGUCGUCAGCUCGUGUCGUGAGAUGUUGGGUUAAGUCCCGCAACGAGCGCAACCCUCGUUCUAUGUUGCCAGCACGUAAUGGUGGGAACUCAUGGGAUACUGCCGGGGUCAACUCGGAGGAAGGUGGGGAUGACGUCAAAUCAUCAUGCCCCUUAUGUCUUGGGCUUCACGCAUGCUACAAUGGCCGGUACAAAGGGCUGCAAUACCGCGAGGUGG